CAGGGGUACUCGAGUGGCGAACGGGUGAGUAACACGUGGGUGACCUGCCUUGCACUCUGGGAUAAGCUUGGGAAACUGGGUCUAAUACCGGAUAGGAACCGUCUUUAGUGUGGUGGUUGGAAAGUUUUUUCGGUGCAAGAUGAGCUCGCGGCCUAUCAGCUUGUUGGUGGGGUAAUGGCCUACCAAGGCGUCGACGGGUAGCCGGCCUGAGAGGGUGUACGGCCACAUUGGGACUGAGAUACGGCCCAG
rnacentral:rRNA from 1 species